UACGUAGGGGGCAAGCGUUGUUCGGAAUUACUGGGCGUAAAGGGCGCGUAGGCGGCGUGGUAAGUCACUUGUGAAAUCUCUGAGCUUAACUCAGAACGGCCAAGUGAUACUGCUGUGCUCGAGUGUGGAAGGGGCAAUCGGAAUUCUUGGUGUAGCGGUGAAAUGCGUAGAUAUCAAGAGGAACACCUGAGGUGAAGACGGGUUGCUGGGCCAACACUGACGCUGAGGCGCGAAAGCCAGGGGAGCAAACGGG
rnacentral:rRNA from 1 species